rnacentral:misc_RNA from 1 species
GAUGAAGAACGCAGCGAAAUGCGAUACGUAAUGUGAAUUGCAAAUUCAGUGAAUCAUCGAGUCUUUGAACGCACAUUGCGCCCCCUGGUAUUCCGGGGGGCAUGCCUGUCCGAGCGUCAUUGCUGCCCUCAAGCACGGCUUGUGUGUUGGGCCCCGUCCUCCGAUCCCGGGGGACGGGCCCGAAAGGCAGCGGCGGCACCGCGUCCGGUCCUCGAGCGUAUGGGGCUUUGUCACCCGCUCUGUAGGCCCGGCCGGGGCUUGCCGAUCAACCCAAAUUUUUUAUCCAGGUUGACCUCGGAUCAGGUAGGGAUACCCGCUGAACUUAAGCAUAUCAAUAAGCGGAGGA